AGAGUUUGAUCCUGGCUCAGGAUGAACGCUAGCUACAGGCUUAACACAUGCAAGUCGAGGGGAAACGACAUCGAAAGCUUGCUUUUGAUGGGCGUCGACCGGCGCACGGGUGAGUAACGCGUAUCCAACCUGCCCAUCACUUGGGGAUAACCUUGCGAAAGUAAGACUAAUACCCAAUGACGUCUCUAGAAGACAUCUGAAAGAGAUUAAAGAUUUAUCGGUGAUGGAUGGGGAUGCGUCUGAUUAGCUUGUUGGCGGGGUAACGGCCCACCAAGGCGACGAUCAGUAGGGGUUCUGAGAGGAAGGUCCCCCACAUUGGAACUGAGACACGGUCCAAACUCCUACGGGAGGCAGCAGUGAGGAAUAUUGGUCAAUGGGCGAGAGCCUGAACCAGCCAAGUAGCGUGCAGGAAGACGGCCCUAUGGGUUGUAAACUGCUUUUAUGCGGGGAUAAAGCGGGGAACGUGUUCCCCUUUGCAGGUACCGCAUGAAUAAGGACCGGCUAAUUCCGUGCCAGCAGCCGCGGUAAUACGGAAGGUCCGGGCGUUAUCCGGAUUUAUUGGGUUUAAAGGGAGCGCAGGCCGCCUUUUAAGCGUGUUGUGAAAUGUCCCGGCUCAACCGGGUCACUGCAGCGCGAACUGGAAGGCUUGAGUACGCUGUAGGUAGGCGGAAUUCGUGGUGUAGCGGUGAAAUGCUUAGAUAUCACGAAGAACUCCGAUUGCGAAGGCAGCCUACCAUCGCGUGACUGACGCUGAGGCUCGAAAGUGCGGGUAUCGAACAGGAUUAGAUACCCUGGUAGUCCGCACGGUAAACGAUGGAUGCCCGCCGUUGGGUUUUUUGGUUCAGCGGCCAAGCGAAAGCGUUAAGCAUCCCACCUGGGGAGUACGCCGGCAACGGUGAAACUCAAAGGAAUUGACGGGGGCCCGCACAAGCGGAGGAACAUGUGGUUUAAUUCGAUGAUACGCGAGGAACCUUACCCGGGCUUGAACUGCAGGAGAACGAAUCAGAGAUGAUGAGGCCCUUCGGGGCUCCUGUGGAGGUGCUGCAUGGUUGUCGUCAGCUCGUGCCGUGAGGUGUCGGCUUAAGUGCCAUAACGAGCGCAACCCCUAUUGUUAGUUGCCAUCAUUAAGUUGGGCACUCUAGCGAGACUGCCGGUAAUAAACCGGAGGAAGGUGGGGAUGACGUCAAAUCAUCAUGCCCCUUAUGACCUGGGCUACACACGUGCUACAAUGGUUGGUACAACGAGUCGCGAGUCGGUGACGGCAAGCAAAUCUCUUAAAGCCAAUCUCAGUUCGGAUUGUAGGCUGCAACUCGCCUACAUGAAGUCGGAAUCGCUAGUAAUCGCGGAUCAGCACGCCGCGGUGAAUACGUUCCCGGGCCUUGUACACACCGCCCGUCAAG
rnacentral:rRNA from 1 species